rnacentral:rRNA from 1 species
UACGAAGGUGGCAAGCGUUACUCGGAAUUACUAGGCGUAAAGGGCAGGUAGGUGGUUUGGUAAGUCUGUUGUGAAAGCUCCUGGCUUAACUGGGAGAGGCCAACGGAUACUACCAAGCUUGAGUAUAGGAGAGGUUACUGGAAUUCCCGGUGUAGCGGUGAAAUGCGCAGAGAUCGGGAGGAACACCAAUGGCGAAAGCAGGUAACUGGACUAUUACUGACACUCAGCUGCGAAAGCUAGGGGAGCAAACAGG